rnacentral:lncRNA from 1 species
CUGCCACUUAAUACUUACUUGACAAUGUAAAACAUGAUCAAAAUGAUUCAAGCAGUUUCCCUGCAACAGUCUGUCAUUGUGAUUGCACGAGACUAGAUUUAAAGUUACGCAUUGACGCGAGCAGCGAUUUCCUCCCAUGCCCUCUCCCUCUCCUUUGCAGCUGCUGCUGUAUUGCACUUUCUUUUAAAAACGUGCUGUAAUUCGCUGUUGGCUUGCUGCUGCCCCCUCCUUCUCCCUGUUUCCAUUGGUUGAUCAUUGAAUCUGGGCUCCACAGAUGCUGGCUGUUUAUGUCUGGCGUGCACGUGCUUAACUCCAGGUCAAACUACUCGGAGUUGUUAAAUCCGUCUCAAAUCAGGUGUUGUGAAACCGGAAACUCCGAGUUUCCUAACUCAGAGUAGAUCAACUCAGAGUUAAGGGGCUC